rnacentral:rRNA from 1 species
GAUGAACGCUAGCUACAGGCUUAACACAUGCAAGUCGCGGGGCAGCAUGGGGGUUGCUUGCAACCCCUGAUGGCGACCGGCGCACGGGUGAGUAACGCGUAUCCAACCUGCCCUUCACCACGGGAUAACCCGGCGAAAGUCGGACUAAUACCGUAUGUUGUCCAUUGACGGCAUCCGAUUUGGACGAAAGGCUUAGCGGUGAGGGAUGGGGAUGCGUCCGAUUAGCUUGACGGCGGGGUAACGGCCCACCGUGGCUACGAUCGGUAGGGGUUCUGAGAGGAAGGUCCCCCACACUGGAACUGAGACACGGUCCAGACUCCUACGGGAGGCAGCAGUGAGGAAUAUUGGUCAAUGGGCGUAAGCCUGAACCAGCCAAGUAGCGUGCAGGAUGACGGCCCUAUGGGUUGUAAACUGCUUUUAUGCGGGGAUAAAUGAGCCCACGUGUGGGUUUUUGCAGGU